rnacentral:rRNA from 1 species
GAGUUUGAUCCUGGCUCAGGACGAACGCUGGCGGCGUGCUUAACACAUGCAAGUCAAGGACUGUAGCAAUACAGGACUGGCGCACGGGUGCGGAACACGUAGGCAAUCUGCCCUUUAGGGGAGAACAACCCGUCGAAAGACGGGCUAAAACUCCGUAAUAUCACGAGGAGGCAUCUCUUUGUGAUCAAGCUUUCUAAAGGAUGAGCCUGCGUCUGAUUAGCUAGUUGGUGAGGUAAUGGCUCACCAAGGCUACGAUCAGUAGCUGGUCUGAGAGGAUGAUCAGCCACAUUGGGACUGAGAUACGGCCCAGACUCCUACGGGAGGCAGCGGUAAGGAAUAUUGGUCAAUGGACGAAAGUCUGAACCAGCCAUGCCGCGUGGAGGAUGAAGGUCCUCUGGAUUGUAAACUUCUUUUAUCUGGGACGAAAAAAGGUUUUUCUAGACCGACUGACGGUACCAGAUGAAUAAGCACCGGCUAACUCCGUGCCAGCAGCCGCAGUAAU